GAUUCUUGUGAAUACCGAACAAAG
rnacentral:siRNA from 1 species